rnacentral:sRNA from 1 species
GCAAGGAGUGUCGAGAAUGGCGACCAAGCGGCUCGCGCGAAAGGGUACACUCGCCAGCAGUUUUGCCAGGAGAGUACACUGAACAAAGGAGACAGGGUCAUUUAUAACGUGGUGCGUCCACCCUACUGCUGUGUCCGGUUUCCAUUGGCUGGAACGGGACAUCACAUUCUGUAUUUGUCCCCAUUGACUAGCAACAUAGAACUUUUUAAAAGAGGCAAAGGCAGAGGAGAACAAAGGAAGAAGGAAGUAACUUGUGGAAUGCUGAGAAAGGCAGCUUGGAUUAAUUAGGAGAAAGUCAAUUGCACCAGCAAAUGGAAAUCUAGGAAGAAGGAAAUCCAAGCAGUUGUUUGACUACUUAAUUGUCAUUGAUUUUGAAUCGACAUGCUGGAAUGAUGGGAAGCACCACCAUAGCCAGGAAAUAAUUGAAUUUCCAGCAGUGUUGCUAAACACAUCAACUGGACAGAUUGAAUCUGAGUUCCAGGCUUAUGUUCAACCUCAGGAACAUCCAAUUCUUUCAGAAUUUUGCAUGGAAUUGACAGGCAUAAAGCAGGCUCAAGUUGAUGAAGGAGUCCCUCUGAAGAUUUGCUUAUCUCAGUUCUGUAAAUGGAUUCAUAAGAUUCAGCAACAGAAGAACAUUAUUUUUGCUACUGGGGUUUCAGAGCCUUCUACUUCUGAAGUAAAAUUAUGUGCAUUUGUUACUUGGUCAGGUAAAGAAUAAGUUAUACCUAUUAAUCACAAAUGGGUAGCGUUACCACUAUGUAAU